rnacentral:rRNA from 1 species
AGGCGUUUUAUGAUAAUCCCAAUGCUUUGCGUGACUAUUUUCGUGAUAUUGGUCGUAUGGUUCUUGCUGCCGAGGGUCGCAAGGCUAAUGAUUCACACGCCGACUGCUAUCAGUAUUUUUGUGUGCCUGAGUAUGGUACAGCUAAUGGCCGUCUUCAUUUCCAUGCGGUGCACUUUAUGCGGACACUUCCUACAGGUAGCGUUGACCCUAAUUUUGGUCGUCGGG